rnacentral:rRNA from 1 species
AUUCCAGCUCCAAUAGCGUAUAUUAAAGUUGUUGCAGUUAAAACGCUCGUAGUCGGAUUUCGGGGCCUGCCUGCCGGUCUGCCGAUGGGUAUGCACUGGCAGGCGCGUCCUUCCUUCCGGAGACUGUCCCUACUCUUAACUGAGCGGGGUCGGGAGACGGAUCGUUUACUUUGAAAAAAUCAGAGUGUUUCAAGCAGGCAGCUCGCUCUUGCAUGGAUUAGCAUGGGAUAAUGAAAUAGGACUUUGGUGCUAUUUUGUUGGUUUCGAACACCGAAGUAAUGAUUAAAAGGGACAGUCAGGGGCACUCGUAUUCCGCCGAGAGAGGUGAAAUUCUCAGACCAGCGGAAGACGAACUACUGCGAAAGCAUUUGCCAGGGAUGUUUUCAUUG